AUACGUAGGGGGCGAGCGUUGUCCGGAAUUACUGGGCGUAAAGGGCGUGUAGGCGGCCAAGCAAGUCAAGUGUGAAACGCCUCGGCUUAACCGAGGCAUUGCACAUGAAACUGCAUGGCUUGAGUGCAGGAGAGGGAAGUGGAAUUCCUAGUGUAGCGGUGAAAUGCGUAGAUAUUAGGAGGAACACCAGUGGCGAAGGCGACUUCCUGGACUGUAACUGACGCUGAGGCGCGAAAGCGUGGGUAGCAAACAGGAUUAGAUACCCUGGUAGUCCACGCCGUAAACGAUGGGUGCUAGGUGUGGGUAGUUCACACUAUCCGUGCCGCAGCAAACACAAUAAGUACCCCGCCUGGGGAGUACGGCCGCAAGGUUGAA
rnacentral:rRNA from 1 species